UGACCGAGUCAAGAGAUUGUUGAACUUACUUUUCCCUCUUACUCUCCUCUUCAAGACAACGCUACUUCCCGCUCGUGAUUCUGCACUGAAUUCCUGCAUUUCAAGGACCAGUGGCGCGGAAUGCAUUGCUGGCCAAAUUUGUUUCUCGAUUUCCUCAUUCAAGAUCAAUCCGUAUAAUGCUCGGAAGGUUCUUUCAGGUUAUCGGAAUUCCAUGGCCAGAUCUCAACGACGGCUUGUUCUACAACGAUGUCAUUAAGCCCUCCGACUCCGGAAAGUCUUUGAUCGAGCUUUAUUUUUUUUUUUUUUGCAAAUAUAAGAUAUCGGCUCCACUGGAGGGCUGGUUGCGGCGAAUUCAGAACGAACAGGUUCGGUGGUCUUUAAUUUAGGAAAUUUAUGACAGUUGUGAAAGAGAUUGCACUGCUGCACAUUAUUUGGAACUUGUGUUCGUGCUUGUUUAUUUCAUUAUAUUUUAUUUUUUUUGAAGAUGUUUUGAAACAAAAUCAAUGUGGAAAGUGUAGAUAGAUCGAUGGUCAGAUUAUUCACACCGGUCUCUUUACCCCCGAUUUUAUUAGUUUGUUCAAUAGCUUGCAUGAUAGCUUGAGUUGUUUUCAUAUAUUACAAGCUUUAUAGGAUUUGUUCAAAAGUUGUCUAUCGUCGGCUGCCAUGGAAAGAAUCAGAUACUCCAUAUUUGCUCGAGAUUUUAUACGAAGACGUCGAAACGAUUGCAUUAAGUAAGCCGUCUUGCUUGCAAGUAUUACCUGGCGGUGUUUCCCAGCAAUGCAUAGUUUUGACGCAGCUUCAAUGAUGGUCAAGGAAGCAGAGUCCCUCCGACUGAGAAGGGUUGCAUCCUGACCCUGUUCAUCGCCUGUGAAAGGGGAACUUCAGAAUAUAACAUGAAGAUUCUUCUCAAACAUCUGUUAGAUGCACAUGCACCAGCCAGGGGGAAGGAGGCUUUGGAUCCUGAUAUUUAGCAUAUUGCUAAAUCACCUAAAUAAUGAUUCAGGACCGCUUGUCUUGCAAACCUAGAAAGAUUGAUGAAUGUGAAAUCUGUCUGGUACAAAGAGGAAUUUUAAAAACUUGUAACUUGAAUAAUUCAAGAUGAUGAGGUGAGCAUUGACCUGCUAAUUGGAUGGAUGCAAUACCUGAGGUUGCUCAGGGCCUGUACUUUGCUACUUCCUCAGGUUUUUGCUCGCAUCUUAUAUGCUCUGAUUCAGUAAAACUCAUGUUCUCUUGAGAGGACAGUGUUGCUACCAUAAAAAUGUACAUGAUAGGGAAAGCAAAAGUCUCUUAAGUUGUUGGCUAAGAAAGUGGAGUGUCAUUAUUCAUGGAUUUCUAGAUAAAUUUUAUAUGGCCAUCACGAUCAUGAUCCUGUUCAUGUUUACUUCCAUUGUCUAUCUGACCGUGUUUCAAUAGUUACUAGCUUCAAUAUUCAAUCAUGUUUACUUUUUUUGAAUUUAUAACUUGAGAUGGGAAACCAGCUUUCAGAAAAGUCAAUGUUCUUGAGAUAGACGAACGUGGAGAACACACUUUGGUCCAGGUGGAAAUUCAAUCUGGGUGACCCCGCCAAAUCCGUGUCCAUCUUUCUUCAAUAGGCAUCCUCUAUUGGGUGAUCCUCUCUAUGUUGCUGUCCCCAUCUUGAAUUUGAUUCCUCUUUCUUCUUGCAAAGAAACCAUGCACAUUCUGUCCAGAAGUUACCAAAAGGCUAUGAAACCUGUGCCUGGAGAUUAUAGCUACUACUUGCACGCACAUCAAUUGGUCCUUUAUCACCCGAGAACCAAUGAGGUUGUCAAAAUCGUUGAGCCACUCCCUCCGGAAGGGGCUGAAGAUGCCAGAAAUGGAGUGGAUGAAUAAAGCAUAGCAUGGAUGUCAAAAAGAUUGGUCCUAUUCUCUUAUCCUUAUACUUUAAUUACACAAGCAUAUCUUUUCGUCUAUUUUUUUUUUUUUUUUUUUUUUCUUU